GGGACAGCCUCAGGACGCUGUAAUCCUCUUGCCUGCAGAGAAAUCCCCUAGUGUCUCCUGAAUCAGACAAGUUCUCCAGUGUCUCAAACCAGAUGUUCUGGCUACAAGGACAGGCAGAAGGUUGAUGCUGUCUCACUUCCUGAAGGCCAACAUCAUGGCUGAAGGACUGUGCCCAGGGCUGUUCCCGGAGCCGUCUGUCAUUGUACUUACAACUCACAUCACAC
rnacentral:lncRNA from 1 species